AGUGGGGAAUAUUGGGCAAUGGGCGCAAGCCUGACCCAGCAAUGCCGCGUGGGUGAAGAAGGUCUUCGGAUUGUAAAGCCCUUUCGGCGGGGACGAUGGUGACGGUACCCGCAGAAGAAGCCCCGGCUAACUUCGUGCCAGCAGCCGCGGUAAUACGAAGGGGGCUAGCGUUGCUCGGAAUUACUGGGCGUAAAGGGCGCGUAGGCGGCUCUGUUAGUCAGGCGUGAAAUCCCUGGGCUCAACCUGGGGGCUGCGCUUGAUACGGCGGGGCUAGAGGACGGAAGAGGCUCGUGGAAUUCCCAGUGUAGAGGUGAAAUUCGUAGAUAUUGGGAAGAACACCGGUGGCGAAGGCGGCGAGCUGGUCCGUUACUGACGCUGAGGCGCGACAGCGUGGGGAGCAAA
rnacentral:rRNA from 1 species